AAGCAAGUGAGUAGCAGUUUCCAAUAUCUUGGUCAGUACUGUGGCUCAUCUGUAAUCGAUUAAAUCUGAAAAACUGUUGGAACUGCGUUCCAGGACGCACUGACAUGAUAACAAUUCAUGCUCAUGGAUGGAAUUUGAAGAAGAAGCAGAUCUUGCAUCGAUACCUGUCUCAGAGAUAUGUGAAGACUAAGAAGAGGACAGUUGAAGUGGAGAAGGAUGUAGAGAACCUGGCAACAACACUGCAGACAACAGAAGGGGGAAUAAAGCAGUGAGUGAAGGACGUUGAGGAGUGGGCUGCAUCAAGUCCUAAGUCCACCAACAGCCAGGACCAACAGGGACUGCAGCCGGUUAUGGAGGGGCUUGUCCUUAAAAUUAAACAAUGAAAAAUAGAACUGUACAGAGCCAUAGAUAAUAAUAAAGACCACAAGCCUAAACGGGAGCUUAUUGCCGAGGAAAAGCAGAAACUGGAGGAGGCUAUUGCAGUUUACAACAACCUUGUGCCAGAAACCGAGGCUGUUGAUACAGCAGAUGCAGUUUUAAGUCGAAACUUUCCUAUUUGGCCAUGGGAUUCUGCAUCCACAAUUCCCCUGGAGACAAAGAAGUAGUCUAUGACAAAGUCAUGCUGUUAUCUCCACUUCGAGAGGAGGAUGGCAUUCAGAGAUGAAGAAUCACUGUUGAUGCCUGAUGGGAUCUUCAAAAGGUUUAAAAAGGGAGAUCCAGCAGAUUGAGAAAGACUUGUGUGAACAUAGGUGUCCAUUUACCACGUCCUUGGAGGCAUAUGAGGGACUGAAGGUCAAACUUGAGAAAAAAACUCCAGGAGGUGAAGAAAAACAUGGAAGAGGCAUUUGGCACAUACAAGUUAGAACACAAGAUGCAGGGUGUAUGUGCAUGCGUCAUAUCCAACACUUUACUGUACACAAGAUGAAAGAUAAUUUUUAUGUAUUCCAUUAAUGCAGUUACUGUAAUAUUUACCUCAGCAUUCCUUAAUAUUAUUGGAAAUUAUACUAUACAGAUUUGUCUAUUGUCAAACUGUCAUGGGCAGUGGUGAACCCAGGCAGAGAACACACAGACUCACAGCUGGAUCAGGCAGAAAUUAAUUUUAUUUUGCUACAAAUUAGGUAUGCCAAAAGACCUAAGGGGGAGUGAGUGACUGAAACUAAAGACUAGAUAAACGUGAAACUAAAGCCAGGAAAAACUCAGGAACUCACUACGGACUGGAAGUGGGGCAGACAGGCUACUGGAGACCUGCGGUCCAGGUUAGUUCCCCGCUGGGGUGGGCGAGCGACAGAGAGUGGUUGUGGCAUGCUGGGAGAUCCAGAGGCUGGGGCAGCGGGGACGGGCUGAGGCAGGCAGGGAUGAGACACCUCCUCCUCCACGGGUGAACGCUGGUUCAGAGUUUGGUGGUGGAGAGGAGUGACAGGGGAGCCCGGGCAGCGUGACCAGCGGAGACUGCAGGAACAGGAGAAAAAGAUUAGUUCACAGUUUGCAGGUGAACACAAACAAAACAUGCUGAGGCCAACCUAACAGCUUGGAGCUGAAGCAACUAUCUGGCAGGGUAUUGAGUGUGGAGCUGGCUUUUAUGGAGGGAGAUGGAGAACAGGUGUGCUGCAUCACGCCUGCCCAGAGUUCUGAUGACGGUGAUGGGUUAUUGCAGCCAGCUGCUGCAGGGAGUGAGUGGAGGACAGGUGAGGAGGAGGUGAUCAGGAGGGAGCUGAGGCAGGGACUGAGGAGGGAGCCUUGACACAAACAUUAUACACUCAAAGAAACAUAUUUACUUAACUUAGUUAUGCCAACCGAUCCCACGAAAUUAGGUUGAAUAAAUAGGAAGAAGUCUAGUAAACUAAUUAUUACGACAUGCUUUUAAGUAAA
ensembl:lncRNA